GGCUCAGUGGUCUAGUAGUAUGAUACUCGCUUAGGGUGCGGGUGGUCCUGGGUUCGAUUCCCAGCUGAGCCC